UGCUACUGCUGGAUUAUUACAAUAACUUUUAUACAUUUUAUUCAGGAUUAUCUUAUAUUAUGUUUUAAUAAUAAUCUGUGAACAAUUAAGAGAUUUGAAAUUGAAUUUAAUAAUUGUAUUGAAAACGCAUACUUCACCAUGCUAAAAUAGGAGUCGCAAACAAAUAAGAUUCAAUAAGAUGUGAUGGUAAGCUAGAUAAACUAACGUAUCAGUUUUAUAUACUACUUAGUCAAUUGCUUCUUUUACAUUAAUUACAUACACCAACGUGUUACUAAGUAAGAUUAGGCAUGAGUUAAAU
rnacentral:sRNA from 1 species